AACGAACGCUGGCGGCAGGCUUAACACAUGCAAGUCGAACGCCCCGCACGGGGAGUGGCCGACGGGUGAGUAACGCGUGGGAACAUACCCUUUCCUGCGGAAUAGCUCCGGGAAACUGGUAUUAAUACCGCAUACGCCCUACGGGGGAAAGAUUUAUCGGGGAAGGAUUGGCCCGCGUUGGAUUAGCUAGUUGGUGGGGUAAAGGCCUACCAAGGCGACGAUCCAUAGCUGGUCUGAGAGGAUGAUCAGCCACAUUGGGACUGAGACACGGCCCAAACUCCUACGGGAGGCAGCAGUGGGGAAUAUUGGACAAUGGGCGCAAGCCUGAUCCAGCCAUGCCGCGUGAGUGAUGAAGGCCUUAGGGUUGUAAAGCUCUUUCACCGAUGAAGAUAAUGACGGUAGUCGGAGAAGAAGCCCCGGCUAACUUCGUG
rnacentral:rRNA from 1 species